AUUGUAGCCAUCACCAUUAAAUAAGAUCUCAUGUUCUAAACAGCAUAUUUCCUUCAGCAAAGAAUGAUUAGUUAGAGAGGAAACUCAAAAGGGUCUGAAGUUAAAUUCAGCUAAAAACAUUAUGUGGCUUAUGCAAAAGUUAUCAGAAAUAAGUAUUCUGGAUCUAGGGUCCUCCCGAUCCCCACCUUGUCCUCCACCCCACAAGAUUUCACUUUAUAUUACACUUCAGCACUUUUAUAUCAGGCUAAAACUUGGCAUAAUAAAUUGCAAAGCCCAAGGGAUGCAGACAUGAGGCAGAGGUUUU